rnacentral:lncRNA from 1 species
UCUUUUGCGCAACAUCCUGCCUCUGAGAUCCAUGUUGCAUGUAGGGGUAGCGUGUCCUUUUUGUUCCUGUAGAAUAUUCCAUUGCGUGGGGGUCACACUACAGCUGGUUCAUCGUUCUAUCAUUGAAGCACCUCAGGGUUCCUUCUAGUCCGGAGUUUAACACGUCACACUGGGGUGAACGAUCUUGGAUGUGCCUUUUGCUGGACGUUGAAGCUCAUCUCUUCCGGAAGUCACGGAGGAGUAGCACAACCCAGUUCCGGCCGCACACAGGCUGCGGUUCGGUGAGCGCUAUGGCAGGCUUCUGGAGCGGCCACCACUUUCACUCCCAGCACAGCCCACAGGCUCUGGGUGCCCUACACCCUCAACAAAACCGCUCAUGAUUUUAAUCUUAUAGAAACGUGGGCCAGGCGCAGUAGCUCACACCUGUAAUCCCAACACUAUGGGAGGCCGAGGCAGGAGGAUCAUGAGGUCAGAAGAUCCAGACCACCCUGGCUAACACAGUGAAACCCUGUCUCUACUAAAAAUACAAAAAAUUAGCCAGGCUUGCUGGCGGGCACCUGUAGUCCCAGCUCCUCAGGAGGCUGAGGCAGGAGAAUCACUUGAACCCAGGAGGCAGAGGUUGCAGCGAGCUGAGAUCACGCCACUGCACUCCAGCCUGGGCAACACAGCGAGACUUUGUCUCAAAAAAAAAAGAAAAGAAAUGUGCCCACCCUAUCUGCUUCUGCACUUGCCUUUGUCAUUCAACAUUACAGAUGGUCUUCACCCUUUUAUUUAUAUAUGUGUAUACUCACUGGAGGUUCAUGUAUUAGCAUUUGUAACAACCACAAUGUUGCCAAUGUUGUACCAGAUUACUAUUACAAUAUUACAAUCGCCAGGCAUGGUGAGUGGGCCACGUCUGUGGUACGUCUUCCAAGGACACGAAUCCUAUCAGAUCAGGAUCCCACCCUUAUAAUCUCAUUUAACCUUAAUUCUCUAAAGGCCCUUUCUGCAAACACAGUCACAUUGGGGAUUACGGCUUCACAUACAAAUGUUAGGGGGACAGAACUCGGUCCAUAGCAUGGAGUCGCACAGUAUUUGUCCUUUUGUGAUUGGCUUGCUUUA